rnacentral:rRNA from 1 species
UACGUAGGGCGCAAGCGUUAUCCGGAAUUAUUUGGGCGUAAAGAGCUCGUAGGCGGUUUGUCGCGUCUGCCGUGAAAGUCCGGGGCUCAACUCCGGAUCUGCGGUGGGUACGGGCAGACUAGAGUGAUGUAGGGGAGACUGGAAUUUCCUGGUGUAGCGGUGAAAUGCGCAGAUAUCAGGAGGAACACCGAUGGCGAAGGCAGGUCUCUGGGCCGAUACUGACGCUGAGGAGCGAAAGCGUGGGGAGCGAACAGG